UGGUGACGAAAUGAGAUGUACUGGUUAUGCCAUUGUUUCGCACAAAUUAGUUUGGCCUAUAUUCAAACAAUAAUUCGAAUUUUAUAUAAUCAUAAGCCAAAGCUCUUUUUUUUUUUCAACAGAAAGAAUGAACUUCUCUUUGGUAUCGAUCUAAACUAAACUGUUGCCCUUAACAUUUUAUGUAUUUAUGAAUUUAUUUUAUUUUAUUAAUUAUGUAUCGUCC
rnacentral:lncRNA from 1 species